GAGUCGUUUGCUGUAGGGCCUGCAGGAGGAUCGUCCCCACCACGACUCUGCAUGACACAGGGGAAGGGAGGACACCCGGGGAACUGAAUCUUGAAACGCACGAAGGGGACACCGUCCUGCCAUCUUUUCAAGGCCAUUUCCCACAGAGAGCCUGCAAAACUCAACAAGGACGGUCCGCUGAUGUGAGCAUCUUGUGAUCUCUCCCCCAGCGCAGCCUGCCUGGCAGCUUCCUGUGCUCCCAGCACGAAGUGGAAGAUGACCUUCAGCCAGAGGAGGGAGCGCAGCGCGGAUUAGAAGGACAUGGCGCGGGGACUGGCCUGGUUGUUGGGGCGGGGACAGAAAUCCAUUUCCCUCAUUUUCCUCCACUCCAGCGUGGGCCACUUCCUGAGUCUCCGCACACACCCCUGUCUGAGGCGCUCACUGACCUGCUCCAAGGUGAGGGAUUCCCUGUAUUUGGGGCAGAACAGACAUUCCCACCCCGCAAGGCUGCAGUGCGGGACAGACACAUGGCCUGGCCCCGAGAUGCUGCAGCAUGUUUGUCCUGGAUUUUAACACGUUUUCGUCCCCGGUGGUCCCAGCGGCUGCUGCCAGGGACUAAAACACCUUUGUCAGGUUUUCGAAAGUCCCAGGGAAGGGAGGGGAGAGCCCAAGGUGAGCGCACUACUUUACCCGAGGCCCUAUUUCUGCACGAGAAACUUUUCUCAGCCUGAUCGCAUCCCUGCUUCUAGGAAGGGCCUGGUUCAGGCUUUCAGCCUGAAGCCCGAGAGCACAAAUAAGCCCUCCCCUGAGUUCAAAAAUAAAAUCCUGGUACCGUAUGAUGAUCAUGAUUAUUGUUACCAUUCUUACCAGCACUGCAAUCAUUUGUGCUCUGGCCCUUUCAUCCCAGAAUUUCAAAGCAGAAUGCUUUAUAAGGAGAUGGCUAUUCAUUUGUUCAGUGAGAGGCACCCUUUGAAAAUGGAGCUUUCAGACUCUUGAUGAAAAAAAAAAAAAAAGAAAAAACCCUCUGAUUUC